GACGAACGCGGCGGCGUGCCUAAUACAUGCAAGUAGAACGCUGAAGGAGGAGCUUGCUUCUCUGGAUGAGUUGCGAACGGGUGAGUAACGCGUAGGUAACCUGCCUGGUAGCGGGGGAUAACUAUUGGAAACGAUAGCUAAUACCGCAUAACAUUGACUAUUGCAUGAUAGUCAGUUAAAAGGUGCAAUUGCAUCACUACCAGAUGGACCUGCGUUGUAUUAGCUAGUUGGUGGGGUAGCGGCUCACCAAGGCGACGAUACAUAGCCGACCUGAGAGGGUGAUCGGCCACACUGGGACUGAGACACGGCCCAGACUCCUACGGGAGGCAGCAGUAGGGAAUCUUCGGCAAUGGACGGAAGUCUGACCGAGCAACGCCGCGUGAGU
rnacentral:rRNA from 1 species